rnacentral:misc_RNA from 1 species
GAUGAAGAACGUAGCGAAAUGCGAUAAGUAGUGUGAAUUGCAGAAUUCAGUGAAUCAUCGAAUCUUUGAACGCACAUUGCGCCCUUUGGUAUUCCAAAGGGCAUGCCUGUUCGAGUGUCAUUUGUACCCUCAAGCUUUGCUUGGUGUUGGGCGUCUUGUCUCUAGCUUUGCUGGAGACUCGCCUUAAAGUAAUUGGCAGCCGGCCUACUGGUUUCGGAGCGCAGCACAAGUCGCACUCUCUAUCAGCAAAGGUCUAGCAUCCAUUAAGCCUUUUUUUCAACUUUUGACCUCGGAUCAGGUAGGGAUACCCGCUGAACUUAAGCAUAUCAAUAAGCGGAGGA